GCCGCCCCGGGGUGUGACUGGCCUCUGCACGUGGCCCAAGGCCAGACCGACCUCCCCUGGGAAAAGCCUCCUUUUGCUCCUACUUCCCGCCAGAGGUUUUCGAGCUCCCUUGCGUCUGCCAGCCAGACUGUGGUGAGUGCUGCUCUCCUAUAGAAAUAGGAAUCUGGAAGAAAGGAAAACAAUCCUAGAAGCAAAACAAAAGUAUGAGAUCACUCAUGGAUGGUGGUACCUUAUCAUUUAGACAGAUCACUUGCUGGAUGGUCUGAGUAUGCAAAUUCUGUCUAAUUGUCUUAUCCAGUGUUUCUCUGAAUGGAAGCAGUGGCCAUUAGAUGCCACUCCACAUAGCCAUUAAACAGCUUUGACCUUGAAGACAUGGAUAUAGAUGAGGAGAAGCAUCCACUUGGCACCUUUGGCCACUUUUGCUUCAGUGAACUGAGUAGGGUGUCCAAGAAGAAACCCUUGCCUUAGGAAGACUUCUAAGAUUCCAGUGACCUCCACCUCCUGAAGUUUACACCUUUGUGUAAUCACCCCUCUCCUUGAGCAUUGGUUGACCAUAGUGAUUUGCCUCUAAUAGAAUAAAGGAAAGGUAAUGGGA